AAGAGGAGCGUUCGCCUAGUUGCACUCCAGAAUGUAGCAAAAAAAAAACAAGAAGAAUAAGAAGAAUAAGAAAAAGAAGAGUAAGUAGUAUUAGUUAUAGUAGAAGUAGCAAUAGUGGUAGUAACAGUAUUAAUAGCAGUAGCACUAAUAGCAGCAAUAACAAUAUUAGCAGUAACAAUAGCAACAACAAUAGUAGCAAUAGUAGUAGUAGUAGUAGUGGUAAUUAUUGUAGCAGUAAUAGUAAUAUUAGUAGUAGUAGCAGUAGGAAUUGUAGCAGUAGUAGCAGCUGUACCAAAAGUAGAAAUAAUAACAGUAGUAGCAGUAACAGUAGUAAUAUCAGUAGUAAUAAUAUUAUUAGUGGUAGUAGUAGUAAUAGUAGUACUA
rnacentral:lncRNA from 1 species